CCGAAGGCGGGGGAUAACCACUGGAAACGGUGGCUAAUACCGCAUAAUCUAUAAGGAGCAAGUGGGGGACCGUUCUGGCCUCACACCUUCGGAUGAACCCAUAUGAGAUUAGCUAGUAGGUGGGGUAAGGGCUCACCUAGGCGACGAUCUCUAGCUGGUCUGAGAGGAUGAUCAGCCACACUGGGACUGAGACACGGCCCAGACUCCUAAGGGAGACAGCAGUGGGGAAUAUUGCACAAUGGGCGCAAGCCUGAUGCAGCCAUGCCGCGUGUAUGAAGAAGGCCUUCGGGUUGUAAAGUACUUUCCGUCGUGAGGAAGGUGUUAGGGUUAAUAACCUUAGCAAUUGACGUUAGCGACAGAAGAAGCACCGGCUAACUCCGUGCCAGCAGCCGCGGUAAUACGGAGGGUGCGAGCGUUAAUCGGAAUUACUGGGCGUAAAGGGCACGCAGGCGGUUAAUUAAGUUGGAUGUGAAAUCCCCGGGCUUAACCUGGGAAUGGCAUUCAAGACUGGUUAGCCAAAGUCUUGUAAAGGGGGGUAGAAUUCCAUGUGUAUCGGUGAAAUGCGUAAAGAUGUGGAGGAAUACCGGUGGCGAAGGCGGCCCCCUGGACAAAGACUGACGCUCAUGUGCGAAAGCGUGGGGAGCAAAACAGGAUUAGAUACCCUGGUAGUCCACGCUGUAUACCACGUCGACUUG
rnacentral:rRNA from 1 species